AUUGAACGCUGGCGGCAGGCCUAACACAUGCAAGUCGAGCGGAUGAUGGGAGCUUGCUCCUGGAUUCAGCGGCGGACGGGUGAGUAAUGCCUAGGAAUCUGCCUGGCAGUGGGGGACAACGUUUCGAAAGGAACGCUAAUACCGCAUACGUCCUACGGGAGAAAGCAGGGGACCUUCGGGCCUUGCGCUAUCAGAUGAGCCUAGGUCGGAUUAGCUUGUUGGUGAGGUAAUGGCUCACCAAGGCGACGAUCCGUAACUGGUAUGAGAGGAUGAGCAGUCACACUGGAACUGAGACACGGUCCAGACUCCUACGGGAGGCAGCAGUGGGGAAUAUUGGACAAUGGGCGAAAGCCUGAUCCAGCCAUGCCGCGUGUGUGAAGAAGGUCUUCGGAUUGUAAAGCACUUUAAGUUGGGAGGAAGGGUUGUAGAUUAUUACUCUGCAAUUUUGACGUUACCGACAGAAUAAGCACCGGCUAACUCUGUGCCAGCCGCCGCCGUAAAAC
rnacentral:rRNA from 1 species